UCUCCGCCCUGCGCCCACAGCUCCAGGCCAGGUAUUACAUACAUCUCUCCUUCUCUUCUUUAAAGGCGCCCAUUCACUGAUGUUUCCCAGCCUCUGGAUGUAAAAGAUGAAGCUUCGGGAAAAGCAGAAUACAAUGAAUGAGACGGGAACAAGCAUGGCAUGUCCGGGAGACCCACAGAGCCUCCGCACCUUCCACAAAGUACCGGGUGAUACGGGAGUUAGAUUGGAGCCUUGAUAGAUGAGAGCCUCUCUGCCUUGGAAAUGCAAUAUGAAACGAACCCGUGUGGCAGUCCUGGACACCGUUUGUCCGCCUACAGGUCUAUGAAGAUGUACACAUUUGUCUGCGGAGCAGCAACUCCUACUUUGGAAGCCGACUCAUUUCAAAUGGACAGCCCAGGAAGUACGCCUCUGAAGAGCUCAAUCUGGACACACGGUGGCUUAGAAGAACCCACAAAAUGCCAGACCCACAAACUGUAAUCCUUAAAUGAAACUCAUCGUUCAGCAGAAAAACAAGUUAAGGGUGGUAAUUCAAUGAUAGACGAAACAGGCCGGAACAGGUUCAAAUGCUGCAUAUUUCACAACAGAGCUUAAUUAAAAUAGGACUAUGAGGCUGUUAAUUGCAUUAUAAUAGUUCAGCAUGAAAUUAGGUCUGAUGUGAAUGUCCUUAUAGUGGAUUUGUUUAUGUUAUUAUAAUUACACAGUGGUACAUACAUUUACUGCAUAGAUACAUUUUUAAGAGGCCGGCUCUUGGGGGUGGAUUUCUUUUCUUUCCUCACUGGAAUUUGCACUCUAUUUACAAGUGAGGAAAGUCGUCAAGAGGGAACCAGGGUCAGGAAAUUAGGUCAUACUGGAUAAUCCAUUUGGUCUCUUGGGUAUUUAAAGCUUAGAACUCCAAAUAAGUUGUGUCUUGUUGAUGGUGAUUUUAUUCACCAUUUCAUUGGGAGAGACUAUGUCACUAAAAAACUAGGUCUCAGUAAGAUGCGUGUUUUGUGUUGUCUUAGAAAGCAACACUUUUCUUUAGAAUCAAUGAAUGCAAAUGUAUGACUAAAUGUGUCUGUAGUACCACAAUAUCAUGUAUUCCAGCGUAGAUUUUAAAAAAUGGCAACAUUUCCAAGAUUUGGGUCUAGUAAAAAAUAGUAAUUCUUGUUCACAGGAUGGAAAAAACACGGCAGGACUUAGUUUGGUUUUCCAAAUAUAAAAAUGGAUUAACAUUUUUCCUUGAUUCAUCCGUAAUUUCCACUUUCUGGACAGAGACAUACUUGGCUCCCAUAAAAAUCUCACCUAUGACCUUGGCUUAAACACUAAACACUGAGAUACUAUCAGAAGUUUUGGAAGCAAAUAUUACACAUUUGAUAAUGUUUUCAAUUUUCAUCAAGAUCUUUUUAUUUCCAUGCAAACUAUAGAUCUCAGCAAUUUUGCAACUUUCUUCAUUUUGUAUGUUGCUCUGAAAUAAAAGGGCAAAAAUUAAUAGAAGAUUACCCAUAAAUAAAUUAGGUAAGCAAGACGA